CAACAUAUCAAGCUUUUUGUUGUAGUUGUUUUGUUCUUCUCUCCAGGUAUUAAAAACAAGCUUUUUUUAUAGGUACUUACCAUUGUUUCUUUGCUGUCCUGGAGACAGAAGUGGUUUAAAAUCCAGUCUCUCCAACAGAUGCUGGAAGGUAAUGUGUCUUGUUUGAAGUCAUCAUGUGAGAACUUCUGCUUUGCUCAGUGGAUCGCCCACCACUUGGUGUGACUUAUGAAUCUAAUAACCCUUUGCAAUAUCCGCAAGCUUAAACUCUCCACCACCUUGGUGCCUACAGAAGACAGAAAGCAACUGGCAGGGAGUUUUAAAAACCUAUAGAUUUACGCAAACGCCUUAGCUCAGAGUCACGUUUCCCUCUGAGUUCUUACGUGAUCUUAAUGAAUGAGAGGGGUUACCAACCAACUCAGUAUAAAACGUGAUCGCAGCCUCCUCCCAGGAAACCGGAGCGGGACAGUAAGUUCCCGAGGAAAGUCCUGGCCGGACGGGCGCACUAUGCAGUGAGCCCUGAUUCCCACCGCCCUCCUUCCACCUCCGGGCUCGCACCUGGGGCCGUGCAAGACGAGCCGGCUCUGGAGAUUUACGUUCGGGACAGGUGUAGAAGGAUGGAGCUUGCAGCCUUUGACAAGGAAGACAAACAGAACAGAAUCUACAACAGGAGCAGGAAACACUUAUGCAAACUCUCAAGAAACAUCUUUCUGUCAAAACUGAAACAGAUUGUGGUGUUCUGCAGCACAUUUCUCUGCUAGGGAAACAUUCUUGGUACAGUAUUUUUGCUCUUUGUAUGAUGUUUUUUCCAAGGAUUUUCUGAUUAAACAUGGUGAUGAGGGGUGAUAGCAGUCAUGUUAUGGUUGCUACUAACACACACAAGUCUUACCAGAGGUGAAGUAGAUGUAAUUUGCUUUUAUUUAAAAGCUUUUGCUCAGUAAUACUUUCAUGUCUUGAUCUAGCACUUGUAGUCAAGCAACAUUCCCAGUCUCAUCAGCCCUUAAGAUCCUGGUCUGAUUUUAUAUGAAAAAAAAAGGGGCAGAUCUUUGGCUUGAUGGUUUUCUGAGAUCUCUGCAACAGUUUGGAGAGCAACAUAUUCCUCUACCUCGUGGUUUUGGUAAGUAUAGGAAAGGGAACAAAUCUUCAGAUGGCUUGCUGCUGGAGAAAUGAAAUAUCAUGAAAUAUACUAAAAAAUCAUAAAAAUCCUAAUCCUGAUUAGAAGACUUGCUUCUUUGAAGGUAGAGUGUAAUGAUUUUUAUAUGCUGAUAGUAAAAUACACAGCAAAGGUAUACUAUACUAACUUUAAUGGAAAGAACAACUAAAAAUUUUGAAUUUUAAAGGGAAAACUUGAUAAAACUCUGAGUAAGAGAUGAAAACAUGCAUAUCAAGUGAUACUCAUACAACAUGGUAUGAACAAAAUAAAAUAGUUCUUUGAAAUAAAAGCCACUAAUCAAGUUACUUUUUAAUUUAUGUGUCUAGAACAGAAAAAGGAGACGAUACUGUAUUUUUCAUACAUCUGGACUUGAAUUCUGCAAUAUAUGUACUAGUGAAUCUGGAUGCUGUCAUAUGAGCCAAGAUACUAAGCAACCAUAAUUUCUAACUCAUUCAGCAAAAUAAGUAAGCUUUUCAUAUUGAAAUAAUUAUCAUAUUUUAGAAGGAUAAAAUCUAACAGAAUUUUAAGCAUAACUUAAAAAGUGGAUGUUCCCUCUGUACAUGGAAGGAUUUGAACUCAAAUCCCAAUACUGGUGAAUUACUCCAGACUUUUGGUGAUCUUAACUGAGAGUGUAACAGAGUCUAUGGUACCUUAAAUCACCUGUGUACAUUUCAUAAUUUGGCCCCAUUAAACUUUCUCUGUUACAAAACAUAGUGAACUGUCUAUUUUUGGUCUAGGGAAGCUAAUAAAUAAAACCACAGAUUUAAAAAACCCUCAAACAACAAAACCCCCACAUAUUCUUCCAGAUGCAGUAAUCACAUAUUUGGGUUUUUGUUUGGGUUACUGGCCUGUUUGUCUCUCUAACCUUGUUUAAUUAUGGAAUAAAAGAAGUACGUAGCUACAAUGUAUUAAAAGACAGAAAAAACCCGUUCUUAUAUUUUGAUAAUACAUCUUUCUUAGCUAUCUUGUGUGGCUUGUGUUUUGCAUAAUGGGACAGAUUUAUUUAGAUAUAUGUUUAUUUACUCAUGUAUGUAUAUGCCCUUUUUGAAAAUUAUGUUCUAUGAGAAAUACCAGCAAUUUUCUCACUGGGAAUU
rnacentral:lncRNA from 13 species